rnacentral:rRNA from 1 species
AUUGAACGCUGGCGGCAGGCCUAACACAUGCAAGUCGAACGAGUGGCGGACGGGUGAGUAAUGUCGGGGAAACUGCCCGAUGGAGGGGGCUAACUACUGGAAACGGUAGCUACUACCGCAUACCAUCGGAUGUGCCCAGAUGGGUUUAGCUAGUCGGUGGGGUAACGGCUCAACUAGGCGACGCUCCCGAGCUGGUCUGAGAGGCUGACCAGCCACACUGGAACGGAGACACGGUCCAGACUCCUACGGUAGGCAGAAGUGGGGAAUAUUGCACAAUGGGCGCAAGCCUGAUGCAGCAAGGCCGCGUGAAUGAAGAAGGCUUUCGGGUCGUAAAGUACUUUCAGCAAGGAGGCGUUACUCGCAGAAGAAGCACCGGCUAACUCCGUGCCAGCCGCCGCGGUAAUAC